rnacentral:pre_miRNA from 1 species
UUUAAUUUUUAACUCUUCGUCUUAUUCAAAAAAUUUUUGCGAUUGAUAUUUUUGUUUUUAUUAGAUGAUAAAUUAUAAAUAGUAUUUUACGUGUGACUAAUUUUUUUCUAAUUUUCUGAAAAUUUUUCAAAUAAGACGGAUGACUAAACGUUGGACACGAAAAUC